rnacentral:lncRNA from 1 species
GCACUGACUUCUAUCUCAUUAAUUUAAUAGGCUCCUGGAAUGAGGAUGGGAAGGUAGAGAGGCAGCCUUGACAAGGAGAUUACUGAGCAGCGCCGGCAUUGUGUGUUUUGCGAGCUCGUAACAGAACGAGGACUUACUGGAGAUUCCAAUGUAAGGUGAAGAAAGCGAAGAAGGCUAGAGAUAAAGGCACUCUCUGCACACAGAAAAAAAAAAAAAUCCCUGAUCGUGUGUGUGUGUGCAUGUGUGUUGGAGGAGCCUAUUGAACAGAAGCCUUUGCCCUGAUGAAACUGUUUUUAUAGCACCAUUUUCAUAAAAUUCAGAAAUGCUUUUGCUGCAGAAAUAUCAGCUCCUUUAUGA